rnacentral:rRNA from 1 species
AGUGAACGCUGGCGGUAGGCCUAACACAUGCAAGUCGAACGGCAGCACAGUAAGAGCUUGCUCUUACGGGUGGCGAGUGGCGGACGGGUGAGGAAUACAUCGGAAUCUACUUUUUCGUGGGGGAUAACGUAGGGAAACUUACGCUAAUACCGCAUACGACCUACGGGUGAAAGCAGGGGAUCUUCGGACCUUGCGCGAUUGAAUGAGCCGAUGUCGGAUUAGCUAGUUGGCGGGGUAAAGGCCCACCAAGGCGACGAUCCGUAGCUGGUCUGAGAGGAUGAUCAGCCACACGGGAACUGAGACACGGUCCAGACUCCUACGGGAGGCAGCAGUGGGGAAUAUUGGACAAUGGGCGAAAGCCUGAUCCAGCCAUACCGCGUGGGUGAAGAAGGCCUUCGGGUUGUAAAGCCCUUUUGUUGGGAAAGAAAAGCAGCAGGUUAAUACCCCGCUGUUCUGACGGUACCCAAAGAAUAAGCACCGGCUAACUUCGUG